rnacentral:tRNA from 1 species
AGCAGAGUGGCUAGUGGAAAAGAGCCUGGGCUUGGGAGUCAGAGGACCUGGGUUCUAAUCCCAGCUCUUCUA